AUUAUAAACUUCUGAAAUUCAUUUAUCUAGCUUCUACAGCGUACUAUGUUAAGUCGAAUUAAAAAAGAAGCGGGACUAAACCGAAACAAAAGUGUGAGAGCCUUUCAAGGCAGUAGAGUUUGUGAGAUUGUAACGGGCUUGAUCGUCGCAGGAUCAUCCUAGUGCUCAGGAAGACUUCAAGUAGUUGGACUUAUUUUCUUCACGCAAAAGACUCAUCUCAUCUCAUGAUCAUUAUGACGUUAGAACCACUGGAGUAAACUCUAGAAUCGCAUCAAUAAAGACGUAUUGCAUUGUCCUCCUCAAAUAAAUGUUUGGAAAUGAUUAAUGAUAAAGCCUCAUGCGAAAAAAAAGGAUAAAAGCUUUUCGUUACAGCGUGGCGACGCGGGGUGGCCGUGGGCAUGGUGCGAACCGGUAUUAUCGAGACCAUCAAACAACAUUCCUGAGCUCAUAACACACUACUAGGCAGCAAAUCAUGUUGUAAGUCGAGAAUAAGACCACACAACCAAUAAAUACUAGGUUGAGAGUUAUUCCUUCAGUACGGUCAUUGUGAUGAUUACCAGGGGGACUUCAUAUUUGGAUGAAGAAUGUUUGGGAAACUUCCUAUCAAUGAAAAGUGUAGAUCUGAUCAGAAGGACUAUCACCAGAGAACAAUGGUAGAAACAUGCCCAAUGAAAUUCCUAUUUGUGGUAGUUUUAAUUAUUGCUAUCAUUUUACUUAUAUUGGAUGUAAUUGUCUACAAUACCUCAAGCUUCAUUAUAGUAGUCAAUGUCAAGGAGAAGAAAUUAAUAUUGAUAGCGAACUUCACCAGUUCAUCCACGACUCGUAAAGAGUUGAUCUUAAUCAACAAAGAAACAACCUUCAAUGGCGACUCAAUAUACGAAGUAGGCUUGAAUGGUACUGGGGUUGACAACAUUGAUAAUUCAUCUUUUACCCAUGAGGGAUGAAACAACGCUAUUAACAGCACGCUAAAUAUCCAACAAUAGUCCAGUACAUUAUAUGAAUACAAGAUUCAGCCUUCAGUUGAUAGCUACGGCGUUGAUCUGACCUUCUGUGUGGUUAAUUAUCCUUGAAAGGCUUUUAGAGAAUAUCCCACCGGGGGUGUCAGGACCGCUACUCUCAUUUUCACAUUUUCGUCAUAGGUUUUUAAAGUGCAGCAAAUGACGUCAUCUGUCCAUUGUGAGACGGAUUUUUUUUUUCCUGGAUUUUCUUUUUUUUUUUCAGGAAA